ensembl:lncRNA
UGAUGGUACAGAAGAAAUUGUGGAAACUUGAAGAUGCAUUCCGAGCGAAGAUUCAGCUUGAUCAUGUUGGUGUUAAUGUUUAUAGAGGCAACCAGACUGUGGAGAAGAAACAUUACAAGAGACGACAAGAAAAUGUAAACACUGAUACUAAAACUAAGCAGAGGACAGAAGUGAGAAGUAAUGAAAUGCUGACUGAAAGACACAAUCCCAAACAAUACAAGCUCAGGCAAGACACAAUAACAAAGAAAACUGAACGGUCGGACGAGAUGUCUGCAGGGGAAACAUUGACGAUGAGGAAGGAAGAAAGCAGUGCAACAUAUGCGAAGAGUGAACAACCACAUAGUCAACAGAAAUCUAGCUGUAGGUUAGCUAUAGGAGACAGAGAUAUGGCAGGAAAAACAUUGCAUGAGGAACUUAUUCUGCCACAGGAUUCUUCUAGUCCACCCCAGGAGCUUGAACUUGAGAGCACAGAUAAAAAUAUCCAACUUUUUCCAUGCAGCAUCUGCAAACGAAAUUUCAUGCAAGAUAGACUGGAGAAGCAUAUGCAGAUCUGUGAAAAGGUGAAAAAGGCCAAGCACCCGGUCUUCGACUCAUUACUGCAUAGGACCAAGGGAUCAGCUAUGGAGGAGUUCUUGAAAACACACACCAGGAGCAGAACCCCUGAGGUGCUACGAAAAAAGAAGCAGCAAAAGAAGCAGAAGUAAAACUUAGAAGUGAAGCAGUCAACUUUUCUGCAAAUCUGCUGUAAUAUAAAUCAAUAUGUCUUUAGUAAUAGGCUGAAAGCAAGUAAGAGACAUACUAUCUAUAUACAUUUCAAUCAUUUAAUGGGGUAGAGAAUAUAAACAAAUAUAUUUACAAAAGAGUUAAGGCACAACAAUGGUUAUAUUUCCACAAAUAAUUUGAAAAAUAAAGUGUUUUUCUCCACAAAUAUUAAGUUUUGUAACCUUGACAUCCCACUUUAUUUUCACAAAGCAAGAAAUCAUUUUUAAUGGCAACACUCACUGUAAACAAAAUAAUCACAUAUUUGCAUAGGAUUGUCGUAGCAAAGUAUGGCUUACGUAUUUGCAUCAGUAUGACAGUACCCAAGGCAGAUAAGGCAAAAACAUUAGACAAUAUAUGGCAUGCAAAGACUGCAGGUCU